GUCUGUGCCCAUAACCCCCUGAACACACCUGAUCUCGUCUGUCUUAGAAGCUAAGCAGAAUCGGGUCUGGUUAGUGCUUGGAUGGAAGACGAAGGGCAAGAGGAAAAGAGA
rnacentral:rRNA from 1 species